CCUACGGGAGGCAGCAGUGAGGAAUAUUGGUCAAUGGCCGAGAGGCUGAACCAGCCAAGUCGCGUGAGGGAAGAAGGCUCUGCGGAUUGUAAACCUCUUUUGUCGGGGAGCAAAGCGUACCACGUGUGGCCUAUUGAGAGUACCCGAAGAAAAAGCAUCGGCUAACUCCGUUCCAUCAGCCGCGGUAAUACGGAGGAUGCGAGCGUUAUCCGGAUUUAUUGGGUUUAAAGGGUGCGCAGGCGGUGGUGUAAGUCAGCGGUCAAAGUGCGGGGCUAAACCCCGGACUGCCGUUGAAACUGCAUGCCUUGAGUGCGCGAGAAGUAUGCGGAAUGCGUGGUGGAGCGGUGAAAUGCAUAGAUAUCACGCAGAACUCCGAUUGCGAAGGCAGCAUACCGGCGCGCAACUGACGCUCAUGCACGAAAGCGUGGGUAUCGAACAGGAUUAGAUACCCGUGUAGUC
rnacentral:rRNA from 1 species